UUGGAACUGCUCCCCUAAGAAUAAAUUAUAUAUGUGUUGAAGUUACUGCUUUUGUUUCUUGCAUGUCUUUAUAAUCCUUCAUUCUGGUCCAAGGAGCAUUGAAUUAAAUUGUACAAAGGGAAGAGAUCCAGUAGGAGAUGUGGAGAGCGACUGUAGAGGCUGAUGGGGAAACAUUCACACAGUUUAGUGACAAAGCAGAGACUUAGCAGAGAGAGCAGGAACAGUGUUUCUGUACAGGAUUACUCCUGUAGUAAAGAACAGGCAUUAGUCAAGUAUCCUUAUUUAUCCAUGCAACACUAUAGGAACAGUCAAAAUGUCAUCACCUAAGUGUGAUUAAAACAGGAGCAAAGGAUGUGAUUUCCAAUAAUAGCUUAAAAAAAUCUGUUUAUAGUAAUUAUUUGAUUUUUUUGGAGAAUGUCUUCUAGUCAUUAUUACUGUGACACUGACUCCAACACACUUGGGGGCCAAUAUUCUGUAAAUUGGGAACUGUAGAAUAUGUUACUAUGCAGCAGUUCCCUUUUCAGGUAGUACUAAGCUUUACCCUGGCUGUUGCAUGGACACUCGAUGGUGAAUGCAGGGCAUUCCAAGUAAAUUAGAAGCAGUACGUUUAGUUUCCUCUGUGCUAUCUUGUGAUUUCCCUGACAGCACCCUUGCUGAUAGUUGCACUGACCUGUGGCUCAUGCAGUGAUUGCAUAAAAUUGUAUAUUAGUUGCCAUAGUAUGUGUUUCCUUCCCCAGCUGAGAUUCUUUCUCCACCUUUUCACUCACAGUGGUGUAUAACAGCUGAAAUCAGAUCACACUGGAAGCCUCAGCUCCUUUUGAGCAAGUCUAUUGCUGUAUAUUGUCAUUUUGUAAUUGUGUCAGGAAUCAAUGGAGGCUUUUUUUUUUUUUACAGAACAAGAACAGGCUGAAAUCUCAAGUUAGACUCAAUUUACUUGAAAUAGUUCUUUGUAUUUCAGAUUAAAUCUUGAUUGUUGUAGCACUCAUGUUACUAUUAAUAGCUGAAAAUAAAGUUUGAUUUUUGUCAGUUGUGUUGAAAAGACCUUAAAUACUCUCUAGUUUUGGCAAGCUUUGAUCAGUGUUUUCCCUACAAAUGAGCCAGAGACUCACUCCUGGGCAAACCUCCUUGUUUUCCUUAUUUCUGUUUUAGCAUAGCUCUUUUGAAAACAAAUUUCCAUUUGAUAAACCAAGCUGCUUAGAGCUUAUCCUCUUCUUUCUUAGGAAGUUGCCAAUUUGCAUCUUAUUUGACAGUCCUUCUUUAAAAUUGGCUCUGCUUUUCUGGAAGAAGAUAGCAGAUUUUCCACAGGAGUUUGUUUUUUAAUCCCUUCCCUGUUUUUCCAGCAAGCAUAUUUCAGCAGCUUUAAUUUGUCAGUAACCCACUUCUGAGUCAGCUCUGCUUUAUGUGCUUAAGUUUUCUUUUCUUUUGCUCUAGCAUGAAGAUGUAGGCUCUCUCUCCUUUUAAUUAUAAUAAGGUAGAUAAUUCUCAAUCUGCCAAGUCUUUUGCUUUUCACUAUCGAAAGAAUUUCUGAAAGGGGGUUGAUUUAAAUAUAGCUUUUUGUUGCAAUUUAAUUGUGACUUUUCAUACAAUAAUUAUUAAAAAAGUUCAUCAUCUUCAAUUACAUUCUGCCUCCUGCCACAUAAGGGCCCUCUUGGAGGCUGUUUUCACCACUGUAUCUCCAUGGAGGUGGCAGGUGGGAGUGAGUUUAUUCCACUUACAUGCUGUGAGUCAGCUCCAUCUGAGAGCCCAACAUUUAUUUUAACACACCACUCAGCUAAUAGGCCUUGCUGGCUGCAGGAUACAUUAAUUUAGGCCCAACAUUUUGCUAACAUCACUAAGUAGCUUCUGGACUGUGUCAUGUCAGUGCCCAGAUGAAGACAACCUCCAUGCAGGUGGAGUGAGUGCAACUGCUUGCACCUGUGUUUGGAAACACACACUGAUUUUUUCAGCGAUAGUGUUGGUAGACCACAAACUUUGCCUUUCCAGCCUUUCCCAGAAUGAUCUCAGCAAUUUCUAGGUUGUUCUGUUAGAGACCAAAUCUUUGAAACUGAGCUAAUCCUGUCUGGCUUGAUAAACAAAGUUUACUCAGACCAGGAUAAAUUUAAAAUCGGAAUUUCAUCAAACUUUAUAUCAAAACUCAAACACUAGACUUACUGCUUUGGAUUCCCCUUCAGAGUAUGAGAAACAAUGUGAAUGUAGCAGACUGCACCCUCACACCUGUCUCCUUUGAAACUUCUUUUGUCUUUACAGAAGACCAAGCUGCAUAUGAGCUUGAGUGUUCUGUUUUUUUAAAUUCUAGAAGUAUUUUUAGCCAGCCCGUAACAGUCUCUUACACUUGAUUGGUAUUGGUGCAGUUGCCAAGUUUGAAUUAAAAGCUAUAGUUUCUGGUCUCUUUUCCUCAAGAAUCAAAAGAAUGUUUUACAUUUUAGCAGCAUAACCACCAUUUUACAACUCAUUCAGUGUUUGUUUUUUUUUUCCAGACUUUGGAAAUCUGGCCCUUACUGGCUUUAGCUGGACUACUGACUCGGUGGAAAUAUUCCCAUUAAUUUUAAAUAGAAUCAAUCCCAAUGUAUUCUGAAUUAACAAGUAGCAAAUUGGGAGAAUGGGACAAAACCAUUUUACCAUCUUCUUGUCAGUAAAAACAUAUUAACACUUGAUAAAGUUGGUAUAAAGUUUUCAGUUGGUAAUAAUAGAGUUAUUCAGGUAGAGAUGGAUGAAUAUCAUAUCCGAGAAAUGAAUAUGAGAUUGCUAUUAGGAUCAACCUUAAGAUUUGCCAUUUGUUAAGAACCUUGGGGCAAAUGUUUUGAAUAUGUCAGCUGGGCUGUAAAAACACUACUCCAAUCUAUUUUCUAAAACACCUGGAAGGAGAGGCAAUGAAAAUUUCAUACUCUCAACAUAGCAGGAGUUUAGCUCAAGUUCCUGUCAACCCUGUUCAGUAAGCGUGACUGCAGGUUCAUGGUACCAGGCUGGAAGAAAUCCACUGGGUGAUGUUUACAUGCUAAAAAAAUCUCAGUUCUGUACACUGAUUAUGAUACUUACAGUUACCAAUAAACAUGGGAUAACGCUACAGCAGGCUUGUGAUAUAUAGCUAUAUUAAAAUAUUAUUUACCUUUCAAAACCACACGAUGAAUCCAAAAGUUGAGGCAUCAAUGUUUUUGUGGCAUCCUGAGCUCUAAAAUUAGCCCUCCCUGUAUACAGAACUUGCAGUGGAGGUUAUGCUGUGGUUUGCUCAGCACCCACUGGGCUCCUUGAGAGAGGGUGCAGACUGUCUUGUGGUGAAGGAGAGUAUUCCCACAGGUACUAGAAAUGUUUUAAGCUAUGUAUGCUGACUCCACACCUAUGCCGCAGAUGUUACAGUUUUCUUGCACACCCCUGAACGGUCAUGAUUUAGCUGCCUGAUGGAAGGAAAGGUGGUUUUUCAACUGUGUUAGUGACAGAAGGCUGGAAGGGUGUUAAUGCAGAGGUCUUUCAUUAUACCUUUGUGAUCCCUUUCAACCGAUUUUUCUUAUUGUUCAGUUUUCCUCAUGUAAGUCAGAAAUAUCUUUAUAGUUGAUUCCAGGCUAAAUUAAUCCAUGUCUAUAAAUUGCUUUGAGAUCUUUUGAUAGGAAGCAUCCUGGAGCUACAAUGCCCUUUUCUUGAUAAUUUUUUUUUAUGGUCAGUUUUCAGGAGCAGGAUAAAACAUUGCUUUUACAACAUUUUUCUCUACAGUGCUAACGAGAGUAGCUAAGGAGAAAGACCUCCAUAUUUAAUCACUGUUUCAGGAUUGCUCUGUUUUUAAAAGGAGCUUAACAGCUGAAACUCAUGAUUCUUUACAAGUGUCUUAGAGCAAUUCAGGUUCUGUGAGUGACAUUUCUCUAAGGCAGGCUUUUCAGUGGGAGGCUGCAGAUUUCACAAAGUCUUUUGUUGUUCCAGUGUCAAGGUCAGGCAGCCUUCGUAGCUGACAUGUAAAGAAAUUCUAGCAUAUACAAAAUCAACAUAAUAGUUGUCUUUGAUGCCUUCAGGCAGUAGUAGUAGUUGGGUAUAAUUUUACAUAGCUGACAAUCAUUCCAUUGUGAAGUCCAGGAAAAAAGCCUUUCAUCAGUGCUGCUUCCUUCUUACAAUUAUUGUUUUAGUUUAGUGUUAUUGUAGAUCGACCUUCUAUUUUAUUCCAUAUAAUUAUUCUGUCACCUAUUGAUAUCGGAAAGCAAUCUGUAUUAGUACUGAAUGGUAGCUUCUACUUUGUCGUGUCUGCUCAGGGAGAGCAAAUAGUUUUGAACUGUCACUGUAUAUUCAUGAUUGCAUCUUUUUUUUCUGAACCAUAACCAAUCAGGGAAAAAAAUGCCUUCCUAGUUGCUGCCGGUGUUAAUCCAUUCAUUAGCUGGCAAAGUUGAUGAAUGAGUAAUCUCUCUAGAAGCUGAGCAUGCUACCUCUCCAGUGCAGAGAGGGUGACCUGAUUAUAACCGGUGUGAUGUGAGUGACGGUUCAGCUUGCUGCUGUUGUUCUGGAGUUGGAUCAAUGCUAAUAAAGGGUGGAAUGAAGAAGGGUUAUAGAAGCAAUAAUGAUCUCACCAAGGGCUUUCAGGCAGUGAAGAAGAGCACAGUUUUACUUUCAGCACUUCUCACAUAUUAAACUAUUAGCCAAGUCACUUUUUCUUUAAACUGAGAAUAAACAGUCUCUGUAAGUGCACUAUGUACCUUGUCAGAUUUACAGUCUUAGCCUUAGUCGCCUAAAGACCAACUCUUAAACAACUAAUCCAGCAGUAAUCCUCUGAAGCGCUAGCUUUGUAAUGUCUCAGUGGGACACAUCUUAGGUACAAUUAAUACCCUAAAGUCAAGGCUAUGUUUUACAAGAUAGGAGCACUUGUGACGAGUACAUAUGUGACUUGAUAUCUGGAAUCCCUAGGGGAUUAUAUGUUUGUGCCCUGAAAUGUGGUUAGGUUUAUAAUAAAUUGUUGUCAGGUUCAGGAAGCCCUAUAUGUACACUGAUUUGAAUGCAGUUAUUUGCACAACACAUUCAGCAGAGAAAAAUAAGGGCUGCUGUUACAGAUCUGCUCCACGAAUAACAGGCUGGAUGUAGAUAGGUAACAUUUGAGGGGUUUUCUGUCCUAUUCAAAUUUGAUAACAGCUCUUUCAAGGCUGUUAUUUCUCCUUGUUGUCAAAAUAUUUUUACUAAUGUGGUUACAAUGAGCUGCUGAGAUAAUACUUUUAGUAGAAAGAGUAUGGUGUUACCAUAGUUGGUCUUAAUUGUCUGCAUUAGGUAAUUUCCAGCAUGAAACAAGAAAAACGUCAAUUGGGACAGACCCUAGUAAAACCAGAUACCUGCAAUUUCAGUAAUUGCUCCAAUUUGUAGAGGUUUAUAAGGAUGCAUUUGUUGUGUGACAUUCACAUCUAUUUCAUGUUUGCAGUUAACAAAUAAAUAUAAUGCAAUAUAGUAUCCUAUUAUAAGCAACCUAAUGGAUUUAAAUAAAAAGGCAAAAUAGUUUCCAGUGUGAUUACAUUGAGUGCCAUGGUAUCAUACUGGAAAUGCUCUGUAGAAUUUGAAGAACACAGAAGGAAAUAUGCCAAAAGCACAAUAGUUAUGCAAUGAAUUCUUUAAAAUCAUCUACAUUGUUGGUACUGAGAAGAAAAAAAAUACAUAUAUAAUCCCUCUGGCUCUGUGAGACCCAGAAAUAACAGUUAUUUAAGUUUUCUUUAAAGCCAUUUUCACAAAAACUGGGAAUUAAGGCACUGGUUUCUUGAACUAUCAGUAUCACCAAUGCUUUUUUCCCCACUUCUUUCUUCAUUGGAGAUGCGAGAGUAACAACUUUGUGUGAGUGACAAUACAUAGGGCUCUGUCUGUUCUAUAUAUUCCAGAGAAACAUAAAACACAUGAGAUUGUAUUUUCAAAGGUAGGGGGACAUGGCAUUUCCAUAUAUAAAGGAACGUAUUGAAGAAAUCCCUAAUUGAGACAAAGGUGCAAUGAAAAAUAGUUUGCGUUCAUGUAAUUAUUGACCAUUAAUUAAUGACCAAGUACUGACACAAGACUGAGUUUAGAUUGCCUUGGCAAGCUUUAUACUUGUGUCUUAGCUCCUCAUAGCUGUGUUUUCUACUUGUCUCUGUGAUCAAAAUACGAGUUCUGGGAACUCCCUGAAAUUCUGAUGUGUGGAACCAAAUGACACAUCAGUGUGAUUGAACUGGAUCCAGCAGCUUCAUGGACUAGCAGUAUAAGGGCUCAUUUUGAGUCGGGCGCUCUCAAGUAUAUUAGGCACAUGCUUUCCCUGGGAUUGCACAAGUAUUUACUAAGAAUGAUGAAAACUUGCUAAUUUUCUAAUCUUUGUCCAGUUCUUUAAAACUGAUCCUGCCUGACUGUGUCCUCUCUGUGCUGUCGGGCAGAUUCCCCUUCUGCUUCUUUCCUCUCUACUUCUGUCUGCAUUUCUGCCCCCUCUGCUCCCUACAGGUGCUGCCAGCGAGAACACUGACAAUACAAAUCUCAUGCCUAGCAAGUCAUUCCUGUGGACAGUAGACCUAUGCUUUUCAGGCAUACUGAGUACAAAGUCUCAUUCAGACUUUCAGGUUCCAGCAUGAGCAUCUCUGCUAGCAUGGGAGAUCUUAAAAGAAACCAGAGAGUGUAGAUUUCUGACAUAAUAAUUUGAGGGGCAUCCAGUUAUCAGCAAACUAUUUUCCCUGUAUUUCUUAACUCCAGCCCCAGUAUAACUAAGACUUUCUGCAGUGUACCUUUUCUCUAUUUCCUCUGACAAGUAAUUUAUUACAGGUUUAAAAGGAAUGAAAAUAACAUUAAUUAAUUAGCAUACUAAGCCUUAAACCAAAACUUUAAAUCUCUUUUAGUAUGUUCAGGUUGUCUCUGUUUUAUAGCUCAACAGAAUUUGGAAGCAUGGGUUAAAAUAAUACAAAACACAUAAAAAUUAGUUAUAAAAAGAAUUAACAGUUUAAUUUAAUUGGUUUCACAUUUGCAUUGAGAAAGGCAAUAGAGCAAAAUUGCCACCUGUAAUUACUAAAAUGUAAUUUUGUUUAUUCGUUAUUUUCAGCUCAUUCUACCUGUCAGAAAGGAGAAAAAUGGAAAAAGCUAAGCAGCAUUUUAAAAAUCAAUGUUUAUUUAAACAACAUUAUGAAUGCCGAAAUGCCUUCAGGAUAUAUGGACUUUAUGAGACACUGUAGCAUUUAGUAUUAGUAUUGAAUUUAUAGGCCAUAGAAGAAGGAGAAUAGUGAUUAAUUGUUAAGAAUGAAAAAUACCUUUGUGUCACAUUUCCUGCCUUUUUUGUGUACCCUUUCCUCCACCAUCUCCUACCUUAAAAAAUUCAGUAACAGGCCUUGUUGGCAAAAAUUAUGAUAAACCAGAUGAAAAAGAUUCAGCAAUUUACUGCAGUCAUCUUAAAAGUCAGAUAUCCUUGAUUUAUUGAAUUUUCAAACCUUCUAAUGCAGUGCUAUUUGGUCAUCAUCCAGGCUUCAGCUUUCCAUGCUUACAGUCAUAUGACCUGAAAAGCUUAAAUUAGAGUAUUCUCUACCAGAAGAAAAAACAAGUAAAAUCUUGGGAACCUGAACUUUGCCACCAUCUUCUGCUCCAAUCUGGAUUUAAUUGUAAUUCAAAGAAGUUUUGAUGGCAAAUACUAACAGGUGUUUAUUACUAAACAACAGGCACUUAAGUGUUGGACAUCAUCACUUUUUCGUCCCAAAGUAAGAAAUAGUUGCCAAGACUGAAUUAGUGAUGUUAUCAUGCUUCAGCAGAGCAAGAGGAACUUCUUUUGAAUUUCCUUCCUGAAACUGUUUACCUCUCACACAAAUAGAGCAUUGGGUACGCUUUAACUUUUGUAAGUACUAUAAUAAUUCAUUAACCAUAAUCGAGUCAGUCAUCAAGCAAUAUAACCUAAACACACUUCUCAUGAGGCUGCGAUAUUCUGAAGGAGAAAAUAUAUUGUGCUAUUUAGAACAUUCUGCCUUCCUGAAACAUCAGACAUGUUAAUUUCAAAACCAGUGAAAUGAUGUCUCUGCUUUUCUCCCAUCUGUUCCACCCAAUAGAUUUUUGAGUGCUGAAUACCGUGAAGCCUGGGUAAAGCUCCAGCUUCUGAAAUUCUCUGUGAAGAAUGAGGCUGCUGUCUGAGGUUGGAGUAGAUCACAAGGCUGCCAGACUUUUCAGUGAUGGUAUUAAUUUAAGCUACUCAAUGACUUCCCAAAGCCAUGAGAGAUGAGAUAGCUGUGCUGUGGUUUUAGGACUUUAUUUGAGAGGACUUCUGCUGGAGGUCUUAGUGACUAUGCUUACUGCUUCACCUGUACCUCUGCAAAAGUGAUUUGGAAAGUGGAGACAUCUGUGGCUGGUGAUCUGAGAGGUGAGGACAGACUCUAAACUCUCUCCAUGUUUCCUAAUGCAUAAUGAAUCUCAUCCAGGAGAAGUCUAGCUUGAACAUUUGACAGUCAACUGAAUACUCAUGAUGUGUGGAAUCUGGUAAUCUUCUGGAAUUCCUUGGAAAAAUAAAAUUGAGAGUGAGUUGUGGUUUGAAAUGUGGCCAGAAAUGAACAACUUCUUCCUUGUGCUCCUGAGUGCAUCUGUCAUUUUUGGGAUCUCAAGAAUGUGCAGAAAGGUAUACGGUGCAUCUCAGAUAUCCAAGGUUGUCUUCCUGGCUAUGGAGAGAGCCGGUGAGAAUUUCCCCUGUACUAUGCUAUAGAGGAAUGAGGAGGAAGCGUAGCUGGCAGUGAAGGAUUGAUUUCAUUCUAGAGGAGAACAUCAUGGGCUGCCUGGGCUGAGAGAACAGAGCUGCCUCACAGCAUGGCUUGAACCACCACUUGGUGACUAGAAGAGGAAAUUACUUGUGUUGUGUGGGCAGGAGAACUGACCUGCUGGCUGAUUGUUUUGAUGGGUACUAUAAUGCAGUAGCCCCUUAGUUUUGUCAAGGCUUAUCUAGAUCAGGCUCUGCAUCCUAUAGCUGGCCAAGUACCUUUAGAGUUACUUGUAUUAAAAUAAUAUAGCUUUUUUUUCAGCUGUUAGUUGUGCUUUUGUAAAAAAUCCCUUGUAACCAUCUCCCUGUGGUAUAAAUUAAUCCUUUUGAAUACUGAGCAGCAGUUAUGACACUUUGCCUCUUACUGUGACACAGGUUGCUUUCACACACAAAUUAAGCAAGUUACACAGAGCGAUGAAUGGCAUGUUUUAAUGUGAGUCUCCUGCUAUAUUGUCAGCCAACAGUGCAAAAUAGUAAUUUACCAACUUCAAUGAGAUUCUCCAAAGCCAAGUAAGGUAAUAGCAAGUGUAGCUUUCCCACAAGAGUUUUGGUUGAAACAUUGUUGAUAAUCCACCCACUGCAGGUGGAUUUGAAUUUGUAAUAAGAUGUGAUAAUUCUGUACUGAUAUAGAAACUAUCGCUUCACAGAAUAACAAGAAAAUAUGUGCCACUGUUUUUGUUUAUCUAAAUAGAAAAAUCUGUUUGUAUUGUGUUAGGCUAUUGAUUUGGUAUUUAAAGUAUUGGGAUAUUUAAAUAUCCAACAUUCAUUCCUUUACACUAUUAAUUCUAUUAUGAUAUAUCUACUGAACCGUAUUUAGUUUGACUUAUUUUUAACCUGCACAAACAUUUACAGGACUUUGUUUAUGCGUUUUAGCAAAGCAACCUGAACUUCAGCAGUACCUCUGAAACAUGUAGUGGGUAAUUGGUAAAUUUAAAUUACCAGUGUGUAUUUUAUAAUGUAUCUUCACUGAUUGUGUUUAAAGUUAAUUCCAUGAGGAUUUUGACUUAUAAGCCUCUGGCAACUGCUGUAUUAUCAUAAUUCAUUUUUUCUCCUUUAUUAGUAUAGUUACUAUUUUAACAUUUUAAGUUCAUUAAAAUGUGAGUUUAAAUUGCCUUUUGGUCUCUGUGGUUGCUAUGCAAAUAAAUAACCAGGUCUUUUCCCCAUCCCCUCCCUCCCACUCUGUAAGUCCAGCUAUGUGGACUCUGUAUCUGUAUCAUCUGUUGUUUUGUUCUACUUUCCUGCUUAACAUGGAGGAUAUUUUCCACGCCUAAGUUGACUGAAAAGUUUCUGAGUAUGACUGGGACACUGGACUGCAGUUCUGUCUGCCUAGUUGAGUUGAUUUGGGAAGUCUCUUUUAAGAACUAGAAAGAGAGCUGACAAAAGUUUUUAUAAAUGUUUUUUUGUUUACUUUGGUUCACACAUCAGGUCCCCAAAUCUACAACUCUCCUUGUGACUCUUGGAUUUUUGGCCUCUAGGAUAUGUAAGUGCUGAUAUUUUUAAGGCAUUGCAAUGGUCACCUUUGUGAGUGGAAGCUUUGCCUUUGCCAUAGCCAUGCUUGGCUUUUAAUGCUCAUUUAAUGAGCAGUUCAAUGCUGACAGAGUCAGAUUUGAUGUGAGCCAUCUGUUUUGCUCUGGUUUAGGGAGUGCAUGUGUGCCCUGUCUGCUUUCUUGCUUGGGAAGGGUGACGUGGCCUUGAGAACUGAAGCACGCCAAGAAAUCUGCCAGGGAGCAGAGCAGGGCAGACAUGCCAUUCAGGUGUCCCGCUGGAGACAGCCACACUUGGGCUGUGUUAGAAUCAUUAUGAAGGCUUAGCUGGGAAGUCUGUGGCUUUUAAUGCCAUUUCAUGGUAGUAAAACUUUUGUUGUCCCACCAGCUAAAAGAGUUGGUGUUUUAAUAGAAUAAGCAUUCGAUUAAUGAAACAACAUGUACUGUACAGAAGAAAUGAUCAUAAAAAGCUGCUUUUUAACUGCCUAAAGUACCUUUUGCAGCUUGGAACCUUUUAUCACCUUGUAAAUCGCCCCUUGAGAUGAAUAGUUGAAGUUAGACAAGGCACACUUCCAUUACCAGCAUAUCCUCCUUCGGAUAUUAUUAUAGAGCUUGGGCUGCAGCUGCUUCAAAGCUGCCCUUCUCACCAACACUUUUUUACAUCUUGGUUUCAUUAUGCCAAGGGCGCAUUCUGUGUUAUUGGAGUGGUUUUGUUUUUAAUAAUCUUCUCGAUGCGAACAUUCAGACCUGAGGGAGGUCCGCUAUUUCUCCUUGUGGUCACAUUCCUUCUCUUACAAGGUGUUGACCGUUUUUUGCCACUUUUGUUCUAUUUUAUAGAUAAUAUUCAAAGGUGCUAGUUAACAAAUACUUAAACUUAGGAGGAGAGGAAGAUGCAUAAUAAAGCCUACCCUAACCUGAAUAUAGGAGAAAAAAUGAAGUUAUGUCAUUUUCAUUAUGGAGGGUUGAAAACUCAUUGCUUUCAGUGGGAGUAUAAGUAGGAAAAUAAAAGACAUGACCCUAACAACAAACAGAUGGCAUUCCCUUUUCUGUGAUUUUGUACACUUUUGAAGUUGUAGAAGAACCGCAUAAGCAGUCAUGCUUUCAAUUAUUUUCCCCACUAACAGAGGCAGACACAAAAUUUAUUUGUUCUUUCUGACUGAUUACUCUUCCAUUCCAGUCAGCGUGUCUGAGCUCUAAAUUCU